AUAUAUAAAGCGACUGUAAGAGCUUUUGUCACCACACGACUCGUCGUCUUCGUCGCAUCUGCUUUGUUUACAUCCAUUAUAGAGCUCUCUAGUCGAGGACAUGUACGGCUUGCUUGGAAAGUACCUCCUCUUGCUGGUUGCUGCCACACUCGUUACGCUGAUUAUUGCCCCAUACCAAGCUGGCGCAAUUCCACCGAUGGCCUUCGAGCUCGUCAGAAAGGGCCCUGUUGGACGAAGUGAAGAAAAUGUCAAGUAAUGACGCAUCAGUCUUCGUGAAACAGUGCGGUCAGUCUGUAUUGCAUUGACGCUGCCUGCUU